rnacentral:lncRNA from 1 species
AUCAUUUUUGCCUUGUGGAUUUUGCAGAGAUUGCAACAGCAUGAAAUAAAGUACUACGUGGUAUCAGUUAUUAAAAGUGAGCAGGGUGGCUCCUUUAAGAUAGCAAGCCACCCAGUGGUUCUUCUGCCUGCUUAGAUCUCAUUCCAAAUAACACUGGAGAUGGCGUGUGUGGACAAGGUUCCCCUAGCAUGAGACAAGGCAUGGUUCUUCAGAGUUCCCUCUGAGCGCUUAGGAGCACUGUGCAUCCAUGCCCUGCAGCUCCCUGCAUGUCUCCUUUGCACACCUCACUGCCAAACACGUCUGAAAAUCUCAGGCUAUAUAUGCUAUUCUGUUUCCCAGUUUUAUUGGCAUCGACUCUGGGAGAUGAGAGAAGCCUCACCAAACUAACUAAUUAAAAAGAGCCACUGUAGCAUUGCAAGAAAAAACAUGCCUUAUGAAUAAAACACUCCAACUUCCUUUUUAUAUCCAUCCUCUCCAAUUAAUGGCAUCUGCUCUGUGAGUAUGCCAGCAUAUCCUGUGGUGCUUGUCUGUAACAACAGCAAAUUGAAAGUAGAAAUUUCUUUUUAAGGAAGCUGGAUUAAAGGUUUUCCUUCUUCCAGUCCUAACUAUUUUUGAAAAUAAAGCCAUAGCUGUAGGGAUGCCAGAAAGCUCAGUAAAACCUGCAGACUCCUACAGCCUCAGAACAGAUGCUGCUGGUUUGGAGUAGAGGGGAAGAAAGAAAGACCAGCAUGAAAGACCAGGAGAAAAAGAGGAAAAGGUUUGGAGGACCUACAGUGAAAGAGAUAAUGCAGCUUUCUCUGCAGGAACAGAAGAUGAGUCCUUUUUCCUUCAGCUUGGAAAACUAUAAUUUUGAAGCUUACGGCCUCAGCAGGGUUUGCGGGCAAGUUGAACGCUGCUGGGGCAAGAGUGACCUCAGCUGGGAAGAACUGUGGGAAGCCCAGCAAGAACUUGUUCCAAAAAUAUGGCAGAAUGGGAGGGAGGAAGGGGAACCUCUAGUUUUUGUCAGAGCUAGAGUGAGAAGUGGGCUUUGGGCAGCACAACACAGUGCAGAUGUCAGCACCACACUGGGCCAAGCACUCCAAGCAUUGCCUGGACAUUGCUGAGGUUCAGUGAAUAAUGACAAAGCUCUGUAAUCAUAGAAGGAAAGCUGUGAGUCAGACACUGGGAGACGUGCACCUCUGUUCCAUGUGGGUGAAGUAGCACUUCAUUUUUGCUCAUAACACACAAAUAAACCUAAGAAGCACUUGCUUUUAUAAGGACA